AAAUACAAAUCGAAUUCAGUCUCUUCCCAGACCCAGUGGGAAGAUGACUAAAGGUUUGGCCCACGUGAUAUCUGGGCCCCCAGCUACUCGAUUGACUAGGGGACAAUUGCUUUUUCACGGCCUAUUUCAAUCGUUCAUGUAUAUGUUGGUGCCCUUCGGUGCGCUUCUCAUGACUCCCUGGCUGAGAAAGCGCAAGGAGCCCGAAGACACAUCAACUGGUGAACCGGUUGAAAGGGCUGAUAAAGAGUGCUCCAAAUAAACGAUGUGUGGCGCUACGUCGUUUAUUAUGUUGAGCCUCGCUUGUUAGUUAAUAACUGGAAUAAUGUGUGUUUAUGUUUAUUGUUAAUUGUUCACGUUGGUUCCUUGGAUUCUCUUCUGCAAUUCUGCUGAAGGUGCUUCUCUCAUUACUCCCUGGAUGGGAGAGCAAGGGAUCCACAAAGGAAUCGACUUAUUAAUAAAAUGGUUGUAAGAAAUUUUAAGGUGUGCUCCUGAUAAGACGAUUGACUACAUUUCAUCAUAAACAUAUAAUUGACCUCGUUAGCGGAAUGAUUAUUUACAAUUCUAUAUUGAUUCCAUGUGAUCCUCUUCAAAAAAUAUAAUUUAGAACAAUUGUGCAAUAUUGAAGAAUUUGUUGAAAAAUUACUACGAAGAGCAUCUCAAGGGAUUUUAAUUACACAAUUGUAGUAUUUGGUUGUUACAAUUAAUAUAAUAGUUUACUGCGAACUACCUCCUGAUACUUUGUUUAUUCAAUAACUUAACAGUCCCAAGAUUGAAGGAAAUAUUUUUAAAAAUAACGAAGUAUCUAGAGGUAUGCUUCAGCCGACGGCUUAUAUCAAAAAACUUUUGUGGACAUUUCUUCCGGAUAUGCUUUCUUAAUUGGAGCCCAAAAGGUGGAAAUGUUUUCAAUUCUGAAAAAAAAAAGAAAAAGAAAUUAUUUACACUGAAGAAUAACUACAUAUUUAAAACUUAUUUUGUCACACAUCCCCCCCUAUAUUCCAGUUGUUUAAAAAUAAAUGUUAAUGUUGCAAUGGAA